UACGUAGGGUGCAAGCGUUGUCCGGAAUCAUUGGGCGUAAAGAGCUCGUAGGCGGUCUGUCGCGUCUGCUGUGAAAACCUGGGGCUUAACCCCGGGCUUGCAGUGGGUACGGGCAGACUAGAGUGCGGUAGGGGAGACUGGAAUUCCUGGUGUAGCGGUGAAAUGCGCAGAUAUCAGGAGGAACACCGGUGGCGAAGGCGGGUCUCUGGGCCGUAACUGACGCUGAGGAGCGAAAGCAUGGGUAGCGAACAGG
rnacentral:rRNA from 1 species